rnacentral:pre_miRNA from 1 species
UAUAUACUCCCUCCGUCCGGAAAUACUUGUCAUUGAAAUGGAUGUAUCUAGACGUAUUUUAGUUCUAGAUACAUCCAUUUUGAUGACAAGUAAUUCCGGACGGAGGGAGUAUAAC